rnacentral:rRNA from 1 species
CCUACGGGAGGCAGCAGUGAGGAAUAUUGGUCAAUGGCCGGAAGGCUGAACCAGCCAAGCCGCGUGAAGGACGAAGGUGCCCAGCAUUGUAAACUUCUUUUGUCAAGGGACAAAAUCAGGCUCGAGAGCCUGCCCGAGGGUACUUGAAGCACAAGCAUCGGCUACGUCCGUGCCAGCCGCCGCGGUAAUACGGGGGAUGCGAGCGUUAUCCGGAUUUAUUGGGUUUACAGGGUGGGUAGGCGGACUGUUAAGUCAGCGGUAAAAGCCCGGGGCUCAACCCCGGCGAGCCGUUGAAACUGGCUGGCUUGAGAUGUCGAGAGGUAUGCGGAAUGCGCAGUGUAGCGGUGAAAUGCUUAGAGAUUGCGCAGAACACCGAUGGCGAAGGCAGCAUACCGGCGGCGAUCUGACGCUGAGGCACGAAAGCGUGGGUAUCGAACAGGAUUAGAUACCCGAGUAGUC